UACGGAGGGAGCUAGCGUUGUUCGGAAUUACUGGGCGUAAAGCGCACGUAGGCGGCUUUGUAAGCUAGAGGUGAAAGCCUGGAGCUCAACUCCAGAACUGCCUUUAAGACUGCAUCGCUUGAAUCCAGGAGAGGUGAGUGGAAUUCCGAGUGUAGAGGUGAAAUUCGUAGAUAUUCGGAAGAACACCAGUGGCGAAGGCGGCUCACUGGACUGGUAUUGACGCUGAGGUGCGAAAGCGUGGGGAGCAAACAGG
rnacentral:rRNA from 1 species